UACCAGAGAACUUUCCAGAGAUGGAUUGGUGCCUUCGGGAACUCUGAGACAGGUGCUGCAUGGCUGUCGUCAGCUCGUGUUGUGAAAUGUUGGGUUAAGUCCCGCAACGAGCGCAACCCUUAUCCUUUGUUGCCAGCGAUUCGGUCGGGAACUCAAAGGAGACUGCCAGUGAUAAACUGGAGGAAGGUGGGGAUGACGUCAAGUCAUCAUGGCCCUUACGAGUAGGGCUACACACGUGCUACAAUGGCGCAUACAAAGAGAAGCGACCUCGCGAGAGCAAGCGGACCUCAUAAAGUGCGUCGUAGUCCGGAUUGGAGUCUGCAACUCGACUCCAUGAAGUCGGAAUCGCUAGUAAUCGUAGAUCAGAAUGCUACGGUGAAUACGUUCCCGGGCCUUGUACACACCGCCCGUCACACCAUGGGAGUGGGUUGCAAAAGAAGUAGGUAGCUUAACCUUCGGGAGGGCGCUUACCACUUUGUGAUUCAUGACUGGGGUGAAGUCGUAACAAGGUAGGCGUAGUGCU
rnacentral:rRNA from 1 species